rnacentral:rRNA from 1 species
CCCCGCACAAGCGGCGGAAGCAUGCGGAAUUAAUUCGAUGCAACGCGAAGACCNUUACCAAAGGCUUGACAUGGACCGGNCCGCCGCAGAGAUGUGGUUUCUCCUUUUGGGGCCGGUUCACAGGUGGUGCAUGGUUGUCGUCAGCUCGUGUCGUNANAUGUUGGGUUAAGUCCCGCAACGAGCGCAACCCUCGUUCCAUGUUGCCAGCGCGUAAUGGCGGGGACUCAUGGGAGACUGCCGGGGUCAACUCGGAGGAAGGUGGGGACGACGUCAAAUCAUCAUGCCCCUUAUGUCUUGGGCUUCACGCAUGCUACAAUGGCCGGUACAAAGGGUUGCGAUACUGUGAGGUGGAGCUAAUCCCAAAAAGCCGGUCUCAGUUCGGAUUGGGGUCUGCAACUCGACCCCAUGAAGUCGGAGUCGCUAGUAAUCGCAGAUCAGCAACGCUGCGGUGAAUACGUUCCCGGGCCUUGUACACACCGCCCGUCAAGUCACGAAAGUUGGUAACACCCGAAGCCGGUGGCCUAACCCCUUGNGGGAGGGAGCCGUCGAAGGUGGGACUGGCGAUUGGGACU